GCCUCCUUAGCUCAGUUGGCCAGAGCACCUGUCUUGUAAACAGGGGGUCGCCGGUUCGAAUCCGGCAGGGGGCUCGA
rnacentral:tRNA from 2 species